rnacentral:rRNA from 1 species
UACGUAGGGUGCAAGCGUUGUCCGGAAUUAUUGGGCGUAAAGAGCUUGUAGGCGGUUUGUCGCGUCUGCUGUGAAAUUUCGGGGCUCAACCCCGAACUUGCAGUGGGUACGGGCAGACUAGAGUGUGGUAGGGGAGACUGGAAUUCCUGGUGUAGCGGUGAAAUGCGCAGAUAUCAGGAGGAACACCGAUGGCGAAGGCAGGUCUCUGGGCCAUAACUGACACUCAGGGACGAAAGCUAGGGGAGCGAAUGGG